GUUUUGCUUUGAACGUCGCAUUGUUUGGAACGUCUUGUGAAAAAUACCCCAAAAUCCCGUGAAAAACCCAUAAGAACCACCACCGCUUGUUAAUGAGAGGCCAAAUAUGUUAAGUGCUUUCGUUUCUCGGAUAGUCAUACUGCUCUUCGGCACGCUUUAUCCGGCCUAUGCGUCCUACAAGGCGGUGAGAACCAAAAAUGUGAAGGAAUACGUGAAAUGGAUGAUGUAUUGGAUUGUCUAUGCCUUCUUCACGUGCAUCGAGACAUUCACAGACAUCUUUCUCUCAUGGUUUCCCUUCUACUACGAAGUCAAGGUGAUCCUCGUGAUUUGGCUGCUCUCGCCAGCGACCAAAGGCAGCUCGACGCUGUAUAGAAAAUUCGUGCAUCCGAUGUUGACGCGUCGCGAGCACGAGAUCGAUGAGUAUCUCAAUCAAGCCAAAGAGAAAGGAUACACAACGGUGCUCCAAUUGGGCUCCAAAGGCAUGAAUUAUGCCACAAGUGUGAUUAUGCAAACGGCCAUAAAGGGUGGCGGAAAUCUUGUGCAGACGCUGAAGAAGAGCUACAGCUUGAGUGAUCUCUCGGAGCCGGACACGCAGCGCACUCAGGAUGAGAUUGACGAGAUCACGAGGCCGCAGCGGAAUCAGAGAGUCCUCAGGCCGCGCACGCAGAGCACAAGAUCGGCUUCGGGCGGCAGGAACGUGCCUGAGAUGUACUUUCCGGAAGUGGAUGUGACGCAGGCGUCAAGAGCAGCCAGAGAUGUGCCGCCGAACUACAACUACAUUCGCUCCAGCGAGGACAUCAGCUCAGGAUACUCAAGCGCUGAGCCGAUGCCGAUCGCCCUCAGCCGCACAGCCUCCCUUUCGCACGCCACUCGCGGCGCAUCGAGACUGAGAUCCAAGCGAUCAGAGGCGGGUGGAAAUGCGUGGGAAGAUGACGGGGAAGGAGACUAUCCGUCCUGUCCUCAGAGUCCUUUGUCCAUUGAAUCCUCCUUUAGGUACUCCUUCGACGGCGAACCUCUGUGUCUCGUUGAAGAGGAGGAUAGCGCGAAUAUUGUUGAGAUUAUUGAGGAUUUCAGCCCGAUCAAGAGACAAUUCGAUCCGGAGGUUGAGGAAAAGUACAGAAUGUUUGAAUUGUGGUUGAAAUCUCAACGGGACUCGGUGAAGAAUCCAUCAAAUAUCUCUGAAGACUUCAGAGACACUUUAUCACAGUCUUCAGAGGAGGAAUUUCAUGAGCUCGACGGUGAAGUGAGUGUCAUUGUAGAGGAGAAGAUUGAAGAAGUGAAGCAAGAAGAUGAAAAUAUCCCGGAAACUGUGAGAGAAACUCUACUAGAGAGUUCUUCUCCUGUUCCACCUCCGCUUCCGGGCAAGAAAUCGCCAAGUCAUGGCAAGGGAAGGGCGCCAGAACCGCCGACAAUCCGUCCUGUCACACCUCCAGCCACUGCCGAUGCGGAGGAAGUGAACAGUGUGCAAGAUAAGAAGCAGUCGGAGAAGAAAAGUAAAUUUAUAAGCUAUCUGCCGGACAUUUUGCGACCAGAAUCAACAGCUAAACCGUCCAAAAGCACUGAUAAGGCACCCAAAGAGACUUCCAUCUGAACCCCCCAAACAAAAACAGACCCUCUUUUGCACCCUCUCGACCGUGAGAUACAAUCAGAAGAUGUGAGCAAUGUGCGGAAAAAGGAGAAAAUCAUCUCCUCGAGCUACUCAACGUUGCCGCGAAGCCGCAAAAUGGAGAAGAUGCUCAAGACUAAGGCGAAAGCUGAGAAAUGAACGGCAUUUGAUCGAGAAAGAAAAAAAAACACCCCCACAGUUGAUUUCCCCUCUUCACACGAUGAGCUUUUGCCGCGAACGAUGGUUUUUAUUGCGAAUUUUGGUGCUAGUUUAGGAGCGACUCUGAAAUAGACUGAUUUGAUGAUGCGUGAAGGGAGUUUGAGAGCUUGAAAGAAAAGAGAAAGGAUGUGUUGAGAAGGUCCUUUAGUCACAAUACAAUAUUGUUAGAAGAGAGUAUUAUAAGUAGGAAAAAAGAUUGCGAUGAAGAGAAGAUUAUUUGUGAUUUUAUCUCUCAUAUCUUUAUAUACGAUUUCUCAUAUAUUGUCUCUUAGUUAGAAUAUCCCAAUUGAGGAAUGUUUUCUCCGUCUCGUUUUACCUUUUAUUAUUUAUCUUUGUCCAAGAGAGCAAGAUAAUAAAGAAAUUUGUGAUUGUAAACAU